GAGUGUCUGGCCUGGAUCACAGCUGCCUCUUGGACCACUUGAGCCAGGCAGGGAUGGAUUCUUCUGCCUUGGACCCAUGGAGACCUCUGGAUGGUUCCAAGGACAGCAGCAGGGGGAUGUCAAGGACCUCCAAGAAAGGCCAAUCCCUUUGGCUUUGAGGACACCACACAAUUUCUGCUUGUCGCCUUUCUUCGCUCCUUUUUAUUUGGCCGUUAAAAAAGUAAUUUUGUCACUCAAUGCACUUUCAAUCCAGUAAAUUGUAGGAGAAGGCAAUUGCACUGGAGGCCUAGCUGGAAGGAAGGAGAGAUAUUUGCUUAAUACAUGCUUAACUGGCAAUCAUCUUGGCAGUGUCUUAGCCCUGCUGCAGUCAAGGUGGCUUUCAUCACUGGAGGUCAUCCAGGCAUGGCUUUCUCUCCUGUGAAAGUGCUCAGGUCAUUUGUUAGUGACAACAGGAGACGGAUCUUUUGGUGAUGUAAAUCAAUGUCACAUCAAAGCUUCCAUGGAGCGAUACUUAUUUACACCUUCAGAUACCAGAUCCUUAUGUUUUGCUUUUAUGUGGAGGAGAGAUCAGAAACUGCUCUGGUUUCCUGUGCACCUUAAUUUGAAAAGCAAUAGAAAGAGAGCUGAGAAGGAAAUGAGCAAACACAGCGAGGGUCAGGAAGAUCUCAGGGUCACUUUUGUGAGCUCUCCGUGGACCUUGAUGCCCAGGCAGCGGCUUCCAUCCCAAACAGGAUGCAAGGAGAGGAGACAAACCUGGACAAGACUGAGACAGGCCAUUGACUAGUUAAUGAGAAGGCAAAAUACCCUAAAAGUGAGAGACUGAGGGAAGAAAAGAGUAGCUUGAUUUUGGCUGGCUGCUGGGGAAAGGCAGGAGGAGCCAGUUUUUGUGACACUUCUCAUCUUCGGCCAGCAGGAGAAGCUCCACUGGCACCAUCCACACAGCCCUGAGGAAGGGAAAAUGGCAAUUUGACUGUCCUACCCUAGGACAAAACCUGCAGAGCUUUUGCCUUGUGUUUUCUGACCCAUUCCUGGAUUGCACUUUCAGGCCAAAUCUGAUUCAAGUUCCUGGAAAAAAGGGCUGUUUGCUGAUUUCUGAAAGUGGAGUAAUCCCACUAGGAAAGACUGAGAGAAUCUACUCUCUUGUAGCAAGGGAGAGGCUUCUUUGGGAUGCCAGUGGAGUCUUCAGUAUUCCUGGUUUAUUAAUUAUUCUGUUUGGGGAGCAAAAAGGGAGAUGAGAAAUUUCUCCAAAUGAGAGCUUAUCAAAAUGGUUUUAUUUCUGGCAAGGCUGAUAUAUCCAAGGAGCUAAACAUACUUCUAAUAUUUUGUCAAAGCCUUCUGCACCACUCAAGCCCAGGGAUGUUUCAAACUGAUUUCCACACAAAGAAGAUGUUUCCCAUUAAAUAGGAAUGCUUGCCUUGAAAAUAAAUAUCUCCCUGCCAUGGGAGAGUUAUGGUGGGAUGGCUCAUGGAAGAGCAGGAAAAGCUUACAACCAUCCCAGUUAUCAGGUGCAGGCAGGGCUGACUGUUUUGGGGAGAGAUCUCAGCUUUCUGGGACCAGCCUUCCUCUGUCCAGAGGCAGGGACUGGGCAGGCUCAGCACCUUUUUUGCAUCACUGGGGGGGUUUGACAACUUGUAUGUUUGCAAAGUUUGUUGUUAUUUUUUGUGUUCAGAAAUCCGAAGCUCUGUAGGGGGGAGUUCUA